rnacentral:rRNA from 1 species
CAGUAGCCGCGGGAAUACGUAGGUGGCAAGCGUUGUCCGGAAUUAUUGGGCGUAAAGGGCUCGCAGGCGGUUUCUUAAGUCUGAUGCGAAAGCCCCCGGCUCAACCGGGGAGGGUCAUUGGAAACUGGGAAACUUGAGUGCAGAAGAGGAGAGUGGAAUUCCACGUGUAGCGGUGAAAUGCGUAGAGAUGUGGAGGAACACCAGUGGCGAAGGCGACUCUCUGGUCUGUAACUGACGCUGAGGAGCGAAAGCGUGGGGAGCGAACAGGAUUAGAUACCCCAGUAGUCCCUGUCUCUUAUAA